AUCCAGCUGACCAGUCCCAGAGUGGACGAAACGCUCGUCCUGGAU
rnacentral:hammerhead_ribozyme from 1 species